UAUACGCAUGUGCAAGAAGACAAAACAAAGAGCGCAAGUGCACAAAGUAAUCUAUUUUGUGCAGAAUACGUACUGAGUGAAAUAAAUACCGAGGUGCAUAUAAGUUUCUGUAUGUAUGUAUUUUUAUACACACGUUUUUGUAAGACAACGUUUGUUGAUGUUUGUAGAUCGAUGUUAUACAUCGAUGUUCCAAGUUAAAUGCGAAUCAAAACAAGCGAUGCUGAAGAAGAUCACGAACCACCCGAUUUCGUUCAUAAUUCGCCAAUUCCGAACAUCUCGGAAUUCCGAAUCUUCUUGUUCUUUUCAUUUGUUUUCUUUUUGUUCGUUAGUGGAAACGGUUGUUUCGAUCUUCAGGAAGACCUCGCUGUUAAACUUCCGAAAUAAUACCUUUUAGAAACAAAAAAUGGUGUGAGUCCGGUUGCAAAGAGGAUUUCCCUUUUUCAACGUCUAUGCAGUAUCGGGAAUGUUAGAAUGUUUAGCUCAAAUUAUCUUUGGCGAUAACAAGUGUACUUCGUAUUUUACGAAUUCAAAAAUUGUGAUAGGAAAUGUCUUACAGUGAUGGCGGGCGUCCGAUACGUAAGUUCGGCACAAAGUCGCCGAAAAAACUUUGUGUGACAAAGAAUGAAAAUAACGAUAAAACCACAACUACUAUUAAUUGUAACAACCACCAUCACAAUCAUUAUCAUCAUAAUCAUCGCUUUCUCGAUCCUUCUCAGCCGUCAGUACAUAAGCGUAAUCUCUAUAUUGUUUCUUUUCCUUUGAUACUACUCUUCAACGUUCUGAGAACGCUUCUCUACCAGUUAUUUGUGGUAUUUAAGUAUUUAUAUACAUCUACGUCUCAGCUGAUUCAACGAAGACAAGCUUCCAAGCAGACCUGUCAGCUGGAAAUUGUAGUUGGCCAAAAGUCUACAGAGAAUUUAAAUAACAAUUUGAAUAAUAGUGGGCAAAUUGAUAACGACGGGAUGUCACAAUUGCCCAGAAGAUCUAUUGGUCCUGGUCCUGGAGAUCCAUUGCUUGCAAAACAAAAACAUCAUCAUCGUAGAGCUUUUGAAUUCAUUAGUAAAGCACUUAAAAUUGAUGAAGAUAACGAAGGUCAAAAAGAAAUGGCCAUUGAACUGUAUAAAAAAGGUAUUGGAGAACUAGAAAAAGGAAUAGCCAUAGAGUGUACCGGUGGUCGAGGAGAAGUAUGGGAACAUGCUCAAAGACUUCAUGAUAAAAUGCGCACUAAUUUAGCAAUGGCAAAGGAUAGACUUGAUUUUCUUGUGAGUGUGUGUGAGCUGAAAAAGCUGGAUAUCUCCAAUGAAUAUCGUGCUCCUGGAAGUAAAGUGGACAACGAACAUCCAGGAAAGAAUCUGAGGGUCCGGCGCAAUAUACACACAUUACAAACAACUCGAUCUCCUUUAAAUACAAAUCAUACAAAAAACACAAACAGUACACAAACAGUGAACGUAGGGCAGAAUUCAUGUACCCAAAUUCCCAAGUUAAGGCCACGUUCACCAAAAAACUAUUCUGGCCAUUCUGAAGCAUCUGGAAGAAAAUUAUCAGUACCUGGAAAAAGAGUAGGCACUGCAAUUAGCAAAAGCCAAACAUUACCACGAAGUAUGGGACGUUCAACACCAGUUCAGCCUUGUCACAGAGUCACACCUGUUAAACCAUCAUCCACACCUCCUUCAGUAAAAAGGCAAUUAUCUGUACCUGGAAAUGGUUCUCCUAUCAGAAGACCUGGAACGCCUACUACAUCAAACAGUAACAAAGGAACACCCACUAGAAAAGUUCCUCUCUUAAAGGGCGUAGAUCCAAAACUAGCCCAAGUUAUUCUUGACGAAAUUUUGGAAGGAGGAACAGCCGUGCAUUGGGAAGACAUUGCUGGUCAAGAAACGGCAAAACAAGCACUACAAGAAAUGGUGAUAUUACCUUCUUUAAGACCUGAAUUAUUCACCGGUCUACGGACACCUGCGAGAGGAUUAUUGUUAUUCGGCCCACCCGGAAAUGGGAAAACAUUACUUGCACGUGCUGUAGCUACCCAAUGCAAUGCUACAUUUUUUUCAAUAUCAGCUGCUAGUCUCACAUCAAAAUAUGUCGGAGAAGGAGAAAAAUUAGUGAGAGCUCUUUUCGCUAUAGCGCGAGAAUUACAGCCAUCUGUGAUUUUUAUUGAUGAAGUUGAUUCAUUAUUAAGUGAACGCAGGGAUAAUGAACACGAAGCUUCUAGGCGGUUGAAAACAGAGUUUUUAGUAGAAUUUGAUGGUCUGCCGUGUAAUCCGGAGGAAAGAGUACUUGUUAUGGCUGCUACAAAUAGACCUCAAGAAUUAGAUGAAGCGGCGUUAAGAAGAUUUACGAAACGUGUAUAUGUUACAUUACCAGAUUUACAAACAAGAAUUAUGCUUCUUAAGCGUCUAUUAGCUAAACAUAAUGAUCCAUUAACUACAGAAGAAUUAAAUGAAAUGGCGCUCUUAACUGAAGGCUAUUCCGGAAGUGAUUUAACGGGUUUAGCUAAAGAUGCUGCACUUGGUCCUAUCAGAGAGCUUAAUCCAGAUCAAGUAAAGGAGUUGGAUCUUAACUCCGUGCGCAACAUUACGAUACAAGAUUUUCGUGAUUCACUUAAAAGAAUUCGUAGAUCCGUAUCACCUGCAAGUUUGGCUGCUUACGAAAAAUGGAGCUUUGAGUAUGGUGACGUAAGUCUAUGAUUUUUAAGAAUUAGUUAAAAGGCAACUGUUUACAAAUAAGUUACAUUCAAAGUAUCAAUCGUUUCAAUAAGAAACAAAGAACUGUAACAACAGAAAAAUAUUUCAAAAGUGACUUUCUGCGAUAUUAAUUAUUACAAAGUGUAAAUACAGCAGCUUUUACAUUUUCUAAACUAAUUUAUAAAUAAUAAUGUCUAUAUACAAAAAGGAAAUGUUAUAAUAUGUGAAAAGCACUCUUGCCAAGUAAUGUUUUUUAAAUCAUGUUACAAACGUAACAAUGUAAUAUGAAUAGCUUUAUACUGCAUAAUACAUUCCAUACUCCAUCCACAAAUCAGGUAUCGUAGAUUUAAGUUUCACCGAAAUGGUGUUAAUAGUAGAAUUCCAAAGUUCGUAGUCUUACGAUUUGCGAAAAUUUUGAUAGUUUCUUUAAUUUAUGCUUUUCGAAAAUGACAAUUUUUUUAUUUGUUUAAUUAAAAUUUACUCGACUGCUUCCUACGCACGUAGAUAAUCUCCUAAUGUAAAUUAUUGUAACAACAUGCACCUUAUGACGAACGAAGAAAAUAAUGUAAAUAUCAAGUGUUGAUCAAGCGUAAUUGAGUUUAACAGUAUUGAGUAGAAAGACUGCAUUUGCACAUGAAACAGCACACGUCCAAUCAGAUAAUAAAACAAUUGAUAUAAUUGGAUAUAAAUGGAUAUCUAACUACUGCUGUAGUUAAGUUAUCGGAUAAGCAUAGAAAUUUGUAGGUGUCUUGUAUAAGCAAAUGCUGAAAGUGAAAUACACAAAUUGCUUUAGAAAUUCAAAUGUUUGGUUGAUAAAUGUUGAAAUGGAAUAAUACCAUUGUGAUGUAUCAAUGAGGGUAUCGCAUUGGUCAGCUUGUAAAUUAACUCUUGAUUUGAUGAAAUUUCUAUCGAGACAACGAACUGGAACUAUAUUUGAAAUGAGUGGAAUUCGAAAUACUUAUAAUUUAUAAUCAAAUAUUAUCAAUGAAACAAUAAUGUUAUGAUACACAUAUUCUAUAACGAGAAAUCCUAUAUAUAUUAUAUAUAUACAUAUAAAAGUUUUUGAUAUUUAUCUAUUGCUUAAAGUGCUCAAACAAAAAGUGAUUGUGCUUGUACGACAUAAUCAUACAAUUGAAAACGUGUUUAUUGCAAAAUGAUAUUAAUAAGCAUGUUAAUACAAUAUUAUUUUCGCCCUGAAGUUAGUUAUAUUAAUCUUUUUGACUUCACGUAAUUUACAAUUUUUGUUUAUAAGAGAAGCACAUAAUAGUUGUUCCAAAAAAUUAUACCUCAUUAUAACUUAUUUUUAAUAACAUACAUGCAACGAGUUUAAAGCUUCUCUGGUGUGAUCAGUAGUUAAUAUUAAUCAAUAAUAAUGAUAGAUGUGUACAUGAGUAAUAUAUACGUGGCACGUGUUAAUUUUUGUUCUGCCACGUAGAUCAAUGAAAAGUAAAUUUCUCCCUGUACUUGUUAGAAUUUCCAUGUGAACUAUAAGUGAUAUAAAAUAUUAAAAUAAUGUAGGAAUCACCACAUACAUAGUACUUACAGUUGUGCAAAGUACACGCACUAUUCUUUAUAGAAAAAUGCAAAUGAAGUUGACGAUGCAAAUAAUGCCAAAUGAGUUUACUUUCAAAGGUAUAUUAGUGUAUAAGCUGUUGAGUUUAAUAUGUGUUGUCACAUAAUAAUGAGUAAUUAAUUUAAUUAAAAGCAUCACAAACGUAAUACGUAUUACACUAAAAUGUUAAGGCUUUUUAUUCUAAAGAUUUAGUGCCAACACAGUUUGUAUUGUACUGAUUAUAGUUAAGUUUCACUUACUUUAGAAUAAUUUUCUCUUCGAUUCUGCGCCGAACUUUCUCGUAUGUGAAGUUUUGUUUGCUAUUGUAUGUAUAAUUACAGUAACGUUAAUUGAAUCUUUUUUCGAUGAUCUUGCACAACAGACUGUUUAUCAAUAUGGGUAUAUGUAUCUACAACCCUGGCCUUCCAAGUUAAAAACACGCUCAGCCUCGAUUAAGUUAUUUUGCUACUUUUAUAAAAACUUGUAAUAGAGAAUUUCUUAAGGAUAUAAAGAAAAUAAUGCUAAUAUUAAUUAAUGCUAUUUAAAUUAAUAAUAAUGAAAUGUGAGUUGAUCGUUGAGAAAUGUUUGCACGCGUUUAACUAGGAUUACUUUUUUCUUAUGUAUUCUAAGAUGCGACUCUUAUUCUUUAAAUAAUAAUUGUUUUGAUAUCAGUACUAAUCCGAUGCAACUUUUUGAGAGGAAAGAAAGAGAUUAUUACCGAAGCAAGUUUAUUUUAUAAAAUUUAACGUAAAACUUCCAAGAUUUCUGUUUUAUUUCUAUUGAAUCUCUAAUUAGAUAUACUUCGAUGAAAUGUGAAACUUAUAUUUCUUUAUCAGUAUUAUAGGUUGCUUAAAAAAUUAUAUUGAACAAGGUAGACAAUUCACGUUUGUAGACUGUAAAUUAAAUUCUUUCAUUGAGCAACUCGUUUUUAAUGUAUUGUGCCGUAGUUAUUCUACGCUUGAUAAAAAAAAUAAUUAACAAAUACAUUUAAUUAACGUUAAUAUACUCAGUGAUAUCAUGCAAUUAAAUAGUAAUUUUUAAAUAUAGCUGAAUAAUGUAGCGAUACCUAUUACUGUACAGAAACACAGAUAUCCUAUUUCAUAUUUUGCCGCUGUGUGAUCGAAAUCGAGGAACGCAUGUAUUGUGUGUAAAAAAGUGUACAGUACAAAUUAUUCUAACACAUUUCAUUAAGGGGAAAAAAAAAGGAAUGAUCAUAACUUCCAUUUGAAAGUUAAUUCACAAUUUUGUCGAACCAUUAAAUAUUUAAUUAAUGUAUUGUUAAAUUACUCCUAACUUGUAUUAUUUGUAUUCGCGAAAGAAAUAUAAUUUUGUUCAUGUAACAGCAGUGAUAUAAUCAGCAUAAUACUUUUGUACUGAAUUGAUGUAAUAACGCACUUUUUAAAUUGAUACAAAAAAUAUACUAAAUAAUUGUGUUUUCUUUGGGAUAUAUAUACAUAUAUAUCACAAA
rnacentral:misc_RNA from 1 species